UUUUUUAGAGACAGGGGUCUCACUGAGUUGCUCAGGGCCUCACUAAAUUGCUGAGGCUGGCUCUGAACUCAAUCCUCCUGCCUCAGCCUCCCGAGCUUCUGGGGUUAUAGAUGUGCACCACAGUGCCUGGCUAAUCUAAACAUUUCUAGUUCAAGUUGACCAUCCCUCCGACCAACCCUUGGUGAAGGUCACAGUACAUUGAGACAGUAUCAUUAUCUUUUUGUGUAUUCUCUGCUUGUUUAUUGCACUGACAUCCCACUAGUGCCCACACAGUGCCCAAGAGGGUCCUGGAUCCCUGCCUGGAGUGCAUUUGGCAAAUCACCACAACAUGGGACAACAGCCCACCUAUGAAAGGUGUCAAGGGGGCCACAGUGGAAAGACAGUACGUUCCCUGAGCCUCCAGAAAGGUGGCUUGUGGCUACACCUUGACCACCCACUCAUGGAGGGGAUCUAAGAAAAGGAGAAAAAGGUGGGCAGGGAUUGGAGUGACCAGCUCUUAGGAGGAAAGUGGUGGUAGCAGAUGAGUGGGGAAAUGUGGGAGCAGUCCAGGCAGUAGGCAGAUGCUAGAAUUAUCAUUCCCCCACCCAUACUGGGGGUUGACCAAGGGCGCUCUACCACUGAUAGACCCAACCUGAUCUUUUCUUAAAAUUGGAAGCCAUCUCACCAUAAAGCCAUGAAAAGAUAAUUUCGGCUUUACUAUAAAUUACUGCAAAUUCUGAACCUGCUUGGAAUGGCUGCCCAUGCCUUGAACUCACCCAUGCCUGGCUCUCUGACCAGAUAGCAGCUCUCUCUGAAACUUUAGUGACGCCUCACAAAUCUUGGCCUUCCCUGGCCAGAUAACGACCCUCUCUGAGGCUCUAAUGACCUUCAUAAAUUCUGAUGUUGGGGCCUGCAAAAAUGUAAACUACCAUUUGUGUUAUGCUCCUCAGAGUUUUGUUAUCUGUAACCCCCCUUUGUGUAACUUUCUGGGCUACAAAGCUGGGCUGCAGGAAAGCUGGG
rnacentral:lncRNA from 1 species